GUGCAGCAGGCGAGAAUACUUUACAAUGUGCGAAAGCACGAUAAGGGAACUCUGAGUGCCUCCUAAGGAGGCUGUUCAGGUGUCUAAAAGCACCUGAAGGAAGGGCUGGGUAAGACCGGUGCCAGCCGCCGCGGUAACACCGGCAGCCCAAGUGGUAGCCACGUUUAUUGGGUCUAAAGCGUCCGUAGCCGGCUGGGUAAGUUCCUUGGGAAAUUUGGCUGCUUAACAGUCAAGCUUUCAGGGAAUACUGCUCGGCUUGGGACCGGGAGAGGUCAGAGGUACUCCAGGGGUAGGGUGAAAUCCAUUAAUCCCUGGGGGACUACCGGUAGCGAAGGCGUCUGACCAGACCGGGUCCGACGGUGAGGGACGAAGGCUAGGGGCGCGAACCGGAUUAGAUACCCCUGUAGU
rnacentral:rRNA from 1 species